AGGGAUCGAGGCAUUAUGGAGGCAUUGUUAGUUCUCCUACAAGUUGCUGUCUGAGCUGUUGGUUCUCCUGGAGAAGCUUUGGUCUUCACAUCGAGCAUUGCUUCCUGGCUCCGGAGGGGAAGACAUGUGCUGCCUGGUCUCCAGGGUGAACUCCUCACGCUGCUUCCUGGCACGUUCCUGACUGUGCUUGUCGCCAGAGGAGCUCGGGGCCUCCGUGUCGCUGAGGACAGCUGUGGUUCCUUUCAGGACAGCCCCGCUCUUUGUUCAAGGGUAGUUUUUGAGAAAGAUGGAUGCAUAAUAACCCCAAUGACUGAGCAUUUUGCCAUUUACUUGGAAAGCACAACUGGACCUUGAGGAUAUAUAAUGAUGCUGAGCCUGGUAGAAAACUGGAGGACUCUAGUGAGUAUCUGAAAGCAGACAGAACAGAAGCUUUGGAAGAAAGCAGAAAGAGAAGUGAAUCAGAAGCAACUGAGAUGGCUCCUACACAGGCAGCAAGCCAGGAACAUGAUUGGACUGCUCCCUCAGGACCACAGUUUUUGCUCUACCACUGCGGGAAUGUGUGAUAGUGCUUAUGGUGCAUGUCUGUGUCACUGGGCCAGGACAACAUGAGCAGAGACACGCAUCACGUGAUUGUCCUUUGCUUUCAGCAGCCUGAGUUGUGUGUCAUUUAUUUCUCCCAUUCCCUAUGUUAAUUAGUGACACUGUUCAUCCAUUGUGUCCAUUCCCUGGAUGGGCCUGAAGUCACCAGCACACCCUGAAAUUUUCCCCAUAUUUUCACUCUAACACACAGACAAAGAAGGAGGUGUCAUACAACUGCAUAAAGUAAGGUUCAGUUUUAUUUAUAGAAAAAGGACAGGGAGAGAAAAAAGCCACUUUGAGAAGUAGGGUAUGAGAAUAUGGGUGACUGCAAAGAAAGCCAGGAAGGAGUCUUGCAGUUAUGUGAUGAAGUUCAUGGUUCCUCCUUCUGAAGGUAGUUUCAUCUGACAGGUUUGUCUUCCCCAUUGCUAAGGGUUUUGGUUUUAGUUUGGAAUUGACAUUGAAAAAAACAAGUACGUACAUUAUUAAAGGGAGACUUGAGAAUGCAUGACCCAGUACUCCUAAAUUCUCAAGAUCCUACCUGCAUUUUCUGACAUUAAGUGGGUUCCCAUCUGUCCUGAGAGAGCCACAAUUCAGUGCUUCCUCAUAAAAGAGUGAAACUUCUCCUGACAGUGCUAUAAAAUUGCGAUUCACUAUUAGCAAAUGUGGCUAGUUUUUAAGACGCCAAAUGGAUAGGUCGGAUCUUAGGAUGGUCUCAGACACUUGCGUGGGGUCCCAGGAAAGUACACUGCGUGGAAACCAGAGAGUGACAGGCGUCAGCCACUAAAUGAGUGUAUGACACCACCACAGACUUCCACGGAGAGGUGUCCAGGAUGUCAGAAACAUGAUAGUUGAUGAAAUACUGUCUGUUUUCAACUGAUGUGCACUGUGGACAUCAACCAAGAUGAGGAUUUCCACAAUAUUCUAAAAGGUGAGAUUGCUGCAGAGGUGGUUCUCACACCUGAGCUUCAGGCACUCCAGACCAAACCUGGCUGCAGCAUCCAGAAGUUCAGGUGGCAUCAUCCCUAGUUUUGGUGCCUUUCUAAUGUAAACAAAGUAUAUCAUUUCCUUAAAACUUCAGGUUCCGUGUCACUGAUUUCAACAUGAUUCUUUUUGCAUGCUUGCAUUUCAUGUUCAAACAAAGCCAUGAAAACUGAAGAGCAGGCUGCUAACAUUGCUUUGUGAGCCUGGAAUUCCUGUCCAGCCACACACAAGCAACAGUCUGUGAAGUGGGAAUGCUUCCAUAGCCCUCCUAGAUCUUCUGCCAAGCAGCCCUCAGGAACCUUCACAUUUUUCAG